AGGUGGACCAGUUGGUCCGGAACCUCCUAAAUCUCCCUGUGUUUCCCCAGGCACACCACGGGCACCAUCUGCUCCCCCACGUCCCUGUGAGAGAAAUAAGGAAUAGUAACAUGAAAAUGAUUAUGAGGCCCUGGAAUACCUUGAAAGCCACGCGGGCCCUACAAAAGAAAGACAUAGAAAGGUGUCAAGAUGUAAAUACACACAAAUAGAGACAAAA